rnacentral:lncRNA from 1 species
GGAGUGUCUUGUGCUAAUAAGCAAUGAAGAUAGCUGGUGAUCACUUUCCUCAUCUUCUGCUGGUUCCUGCUGCAUGGCAUGAGACCUACGUGUGACAACUCUGAAGAAAAAUAUUUUGGAAGUGCCAUAUAGGAUCGAUCAGAGAGGACAAAGCUGGAGGUCAAAUUUAGGAGUCAUCCAGUUAAGGAACAAGGAAGCCAAUCCGUGCAUGCGAAGUGUUCCCUGAGAAUCACAGCAGAGGGACAGAACUCACAACUGGACCACAGAGAAAAGCAUUUUAGCCUACAUUUUUCAAAGGACUCCACAUCAGUUUAGGACAAGGCGGCUUCACCAGAGCCUCUGGAAAGGCCACUCUCAGAUGCUGAGGCUGAAAAUCUCUUGCUUCUGUGUUAAGAAUGAUUCUCUUUCUGCCUUCUACCACUUGCUCCUAUGCUGUGAGUGGGUGUGGUGGGUGCACUUCUUAUAGCUGUGGAUCUUGAUCAAUAAGCUAUUAUUUUAUGUUUUAUUUAUUUAUUUUUUUGUACA